GAUGAACGCUGGCGGCGUGCCUAAUACAUGCAAGUCGAGCGAACGGACGAGAAGCUUGCUUCUCUGAUGUUAGCGGCGGACGGGUGAGUAACACGUGGAUAACCUACCUAUAAGACUGGGAUAACUUCGGGAAACCGGAGCUAAUACCUGAUAAUAUUUUGAACCGCAUGGUUCAAAAGUGAAAGACGGUCUUGCUGUCACUUAUAGAUGGAUCCGCGCUGCAUUAGCUAGUUGGUAAGGUAACGGCUUACCAAGGCAACGAUGAAUAGCCGACCUGAGAGGGUGAUCAGCCACACUGGAACUGAGACACGGUCCAGACUCCUACGGGAGGCAGCAGUAGGGAAUCUUCCGCAAUGGGCGAAAGCCUGACGGAGCAACGCCGCGUGAGUGAUGAAGGUCUUCGGAUCGUAAAGCACUGUUAUUAGGGAAGAAAAUAUGUGUAAGAAACUGUGCACAUCUUGACGGUACCUAAUCAGAAAGCCACGGCUAACUACGUG
rnacentral:rRNA from 1 species